GCGGAUAAAAAUAGGUCACCGUUAUCACGUGCUAUUUACAUUCACACGUCAUAGCACGUUGCCAUUAAAGAAUGUCAAUGUGAGUGAGGGAGAAGAAAUGGCAGAUGCCUGUAAAUUAUGAGAGAUCUAUACAUUAAAACAAUGGAUUCUGCUGAAGAAAGUGACACAGAGUCACAACUUGAAAAGUUUUCCUUUGGAUCAGGUGAUAGUGGUUUUUGUACUGAAGAACCUGUUGUUUCUUUAUCUCAUGACCCUGAAAAAAAGAAUAGAAGUGAAAAUAAAUCACCCAGCACAUGUAAUCAAACAACACCAUUAUCUCAUCAUAUGACAUCUGCAUCUGAACCAUCAACUCCAGUAUUAACCACCAUUAUCUCUAGUCCAGAGUACAUAGAUUAUGCAAACUCAUUACGAUCAAUACCAAAAACUAAGUCUAACGAUUUACCAAAAUCUAGUGUGUCAUCUUAUAUGAGUCUCAAAAGGAAAGUCAGUAUUGACAGUGUGUCAAGUAGCAAUCAGAAUUCUAAUGUAAAAAUCACAAAACCAGACUCAAGUGACUCUCAAAAUGUCAAACAAAAGCGCUUCAAUCGAACAGCAAAAGCGUUGAGGGAAUCAGGACUUCUUCCUAUAGCUAUUAAAACUGGUAAUCUAAUGAAAAAGAAUAUGAUUUUACAAAAAGAAAUUCAAAAUCUCAAAAAAGAGACAGCAUUGUUUUUACAGUCUGUUCAAGCAGAAGGAAGUGACAAUACAGAAGAAAGAAAACACUCUGGUUAAUGUGUCUCUUUAUAAACUUGCCUGUGUUGGUUUUCUAGCAGACAUUGUAAUCUUUGGUUUUCUGAAAUUGCUUUCAUAAUCAUAAUUACAUUUGUUUGAUAUUUGGAAAAUGAUUAGGAUCUUCAGCAAGGACAAGGAAGUCUAAUUACUCUUUGAGUAAUGAGCAUAAUAAAUUGAAACAACUAAGUGUCUAUUAUUAAGUUCUAUGCAAUUUUGUUAUUCAGAAAGCAAUAACAUUUUAUACAAAGACAAAAUAGGUAUUGCACAUAUUUACAGUAAUACAGAUUUUAACUAUUAACAUUAUUGAAAAUAAUUGCAAAAAUAAAAACAUCGCGAAAAUUAUGGCAAGUAAUAACCUGAUGAACUGUAUGUAAAUCUUAACAUACAGACAAGGGAAUCCAGGGAUUAAUGGUUCUGUAUGACAAAUGAUAUUUCUAUAAAAAAAACCCUGCUAAUUUGAUUGAAUAUCAUCAAUUUAUCUGAUGAAAUAAUUAUUGCAUGUAAAAUGCUGCACUAAGUGUCUCGCCUUGUUAGAUUAUAUAUCGAAAUUCUACAGAAAUAUAUCCUUGCAUGACCCCUAAUGUAUCCUAAAUGACAUUUUAUACAAAUGAGAUUUUAGCAAAUAAAACUGUUUCCUUUGUUA